GCAUGAUGAGAGACUGUCAUUUAAGUAAGGACCUAAUAAGCAUUGAUUAUUUUGUAAUUUUUAUUACUAAAGUUUUAGCCCUAGAUCUAAUUUCUUCCUCAUAGGAUGUAAAAUGUAACAAUUCUUCAUUUAUGAGAAUAACAAUAAUAGAGGGAAGGAUAUGGUCAAAUCUGGGAGGCUGAUGCAUCCCUUAGUCCUCUGUUCCUGUGAUUCUUUUUUCUUUUAAGGCAGGGAUGGCUUAUACAUCAUAUUUUAUUGAAUUUGGGGAAUUUCUCAUUUUUUUACUUAAAAUGGAGCAUGUCAACUCAAAUAAAUGCAGAUCUUGCAUUUUUUUUUCAGUGUCAUGUAAAAACCAACAUAAUGGAGUUAUGAAACAUUUAACAUGUGCAGUACAUAAAUCCUACAGAGCCCCUGAUUCAAUACAUUUGCCCAGGUUGAUUCUCCAAACAAGAG
rnacentral:lncRNA from 1 species